rnacentral:rRNA from 1 species
GUGGUUGGAAGUGCCUCCUUGUUCAAGCCUGAUCUCAUCUGUUCUCUAAAGCUAAGCAGGGUUGGGACUGGUUAGUACUUGGAUGGGAGACUGAGUGCCGCAGCAGUGGUCCUAGUGCA